UAAACAAGUUCCUGCUUGGCUACCAGCUCCUGCGUACUUCUUGUCGGCUGCCGCUUCAGCGCCGUGUCCUGUGUUCUCAGUGCAGCGCGUCCGCCACAUGAUACUACAAACUUACGCCAGUGUGGGUCCACUUUCACCAAGCGACAAUUGUGCGAAGGGAAUGCUGGGUUGUAGUGCACACCGACUGAAACUGCACGGUGAUCCACGGCAUGGGCACCACGAUCCGCAGCAGCAGUGUGAUAGGCCGGAUGUCUCGAUGGGAUCCAGGAGGGUGCAACUUUCGUCGUUCUGCAUGUCCUCGCUGCGAUGCACUCCUCUAACUUCGUCGUUAAAAAGAUGGUUCUGACAACGGGACAUCAAGCCUGCCUUUGACAAGCUUGCAAACGAGUGCCAUGCUCCGGCGUCACUCGGCGGUAGAAUACUGUGGAGCCACACAGAGGAAUAUGGUUUUAAUCUCACUAUGUCACAUCAUGUCUUUGUUGUUUUUACAUAGGUUUCCCUUUUCUUCUUUUCUGCGAGAGUGGUUAUGGACACCAAUGGCGACGUAGGCGGACAACCAAGGUGCUGUGCGUGACACGUGUUUUGAUCUCAUAACAGCUUUCACUGCAUAAUAAAAAGUUUUUGAGCCCAGAAACACUUCCCAUGGGCGUUUUAACUAACGU